rnacentral:lncRNA from 1 species
ACCUGUCUUACUGUCUAUGCACUGGUUGAGCUUGGUGGCUCAGGGAAGAAGCUCCAGCUUGGCGCUGGCUCUGUCAGAGCCCUGGCCUGGAGCCCAGGUGCAUGGUAAACACUUUGUCAUCUUAGUGGGUUCUUGAUCUUCGACUCUGCUGUGAUUUAGAGGUAAAACCCCUGCCUCUGCCCACAGCCUAACACUCCAACUUGGUUCCUCUCUGCUCCACAUACUAGGAUCAGCAGGCUUAUCUUGGAAAGACUCCUUGGAAAGAUAAGUAAGUUUAUCUUGGAAAGAGUCCAGCAGAGAAUUCCGGCCCUACCCCAACACCCUGAUACAGUAUACACGAGGAGCCAUAACUCCUGAUCCAGGAAUCAUUUCUGCAGCAAUCACCCUGGGUGGCAGAGCUGGCUGUCCAGAUGGCUGGGAUUGUAUUUCAAGAACAUGUCACUUUCUAAAGAGAACUCCAGCUUGUUGUAGAAUUUCUGGUGCACCCCUGCAGCCACUGAGCCUUUGGAGAUGAAGCUUCAAGGCUAGAGGCAACUCUGGAAGCCUGAGCAUGAUUACAUUGUUGAAUAAAACACAGAGACAACAACUUUAAUUAUUAUGAAGAUGCAUCACUCUUAUACAAUAUUCAACAUUAGUUAAAUCCAAUUACAAUCACCCAGCAUCCAGCGAUCUUCUUCAAAGCCAUUUCCACAAGGUAACAAAUGAGCCAUCUUGCAAACUCAUCAAAAGAAAGGAAAAGCCUUCUUGUGGUCAGCUGAGCCUCAAACCUGCUGUCAAGAAGGUAAACUGGAUACUGGAUGGAGGGCCCUGAGGGAGAGGAGGAGGGACAAUCAAGAGCUAGAAGUGAAUACUCCGAAGGUUCUGAGGAGCUGAGAACGGUGGUGCAGGAAGACAUAGAGCAGGAAGACAGCACCAGCUCUGAGCCUGGCCAGCCUGGUCUACAAGUUCUAGGACACCCAAGGCUACUCUGAGUAACCUUGUCUCAAAAGGAAGGAGGAGAAGGAGGAACUUCAUACUCACCAUACAUAUUCUGGGUGCUGUCUUAACACUUUGUGGAUUUUGACUUAUGAUUCUCAUAAUGUUCUAAUGUAAGUACUAUUUUCAGUUUGUCCUAGGAAAAACUGGGGAAGAAAAGGUUUAUUGCCAGUGACCGAGUGAGAGUGAAUGAAGACUAAACUUGGACACUCCUUGCUAAGAAAGAGCAAGGGGCUUUGCAGAUUCGACCAAGCCUACCUCACCUUCCUCAUUGAAAACAUCCCUGACAAUCUCUGUAACCUCUAGCUUCACCAUCCUAACUAGGAGAGGGCUCUGCUCUAGAAUGACAUACCAUGGGAUAGGUUUUCUGUAUCAAGAUAAUAGGUUUCUCUGCUGACACAGUAAGCCAGAUCAAGCUGAGUUGAAAAAUUAAAAGAAUAGGUUUAUUUGAACAAAGCAACUCCCAGGUGAGUUCUCCAGUCUCAGAGAUCCCAAACUAAAGCAGGAGGUUACA